UCUAUGACCGCAAACAGCAGUGUGCCAUCUCUGAGCUGCGAAUUGAUCUUAAGUGUCCUGCAGUCUGACAUUCUGUAACGGACCAUGCGGACUUGGCUGUUGUUCUUCACAUCAGAACUGCUUCUAAUGAUGAGACACGGAGAGUCUCAGAAGAUUGUGCAGGUCCAGGAGCAUAUCUCCGUGAGAAAAGCCGAAUCUGUGGUUAUCCCGUGCACCCAACGUGGGACUGAUAGUUACAUGUACUGGUACAGACAGUCCCCGGGCGAGGGUCUCCAGUAUAUCCUGCACGCUAUUGAGAAAAGUGAACCGACAAGGUCCGACGAGAUCUCAGAUCGUUUCAACGCCAAGAGGACAGCCGGCGGCUCCUUUGAUCUAAGGAUAGCGAUGGUGCAGCCCAGCGAUACGGCUCGAUAUUUCUGCGCCUCCAGUGAUGCACAGUGGAACACUCCCGCUGCACUGCGCUACAAAAACUCACCCCGUUGCACGGUCGCCUAA